rnacentral:rRNA from 1 species
GACGAACGCUGGCGGCGUGCUUAACACAUGCAAGUCGAACGGAAAGGCCCUGCUUUUGUGGGGUGCUCGAGUGGCGAACGGGUGAGUAACACGUGAGUAACCUGCCCUUGACUUUGGGAUAACUUCAGGAAACUGGGGCUAAUGCCGGAUAGGAGCUCCUGCUGCAUGGUGGGGGUUGGAAAGUUUCGGCGGUUGGGGAUGGACUCGCGGCUUAUCAGCUUGUUGGUGGGGUAGUGGCUUACCAAGGCUUUGACAGGUAGCCGGCCUGAGAGGGUGACCGGCCACAUUGGGACUGAGAUACGGCCCAGACUCCUACGGGAGGCAGCAGUGGGGAAUAUUGCACAAUGGGCGGAAGCCUGAUGCAGCAACGCCGCGUGCGGGAUGACGGCCUUCGGGUUGUAAACCGCUUUCGCCUGUGACGAAGCGUGAGUGACGGUAAUGGGUAAAGAAGCACCGGCUAACUACGUG